rnacentral:rRNA from 1 species
CCUACGGGUGGCAGCAGUGGGGAAUAUUGGGCAAUGGACGCAAGUCUGACCCAGCAAAGCCGCGUGAAGGAAGAAGGCUCUCGGGUUGUAAACUUCUUUUAAGGGGGAAGAGCAGAAGACGGUACCCCUUGAAUAAGCCACGGCUAACUACGAGCAAGCAGCCGCGGUAAUACGGAGGUGGCAAGCGAUGUCCGGAUUUACUGGGUGUAACGGGCGUGCAGCCGGGGAGACAAGUCAGAUGUGAAAACUACGGGCUCAACCCGUGAACUGCCUUUGAAACUGUUUCCCUUGAGUGUCGGAGAGGUAAUCGGAAUGCCUGGUGUAGCGGUGAAAUGCGUAGAUAUUAGGAAGAACACCAGUGGCGAAGGCGGAUUACUGGACGAUAACUGACGGUGAGGCGCGAAAGCGUGGGGAGCGAACAGGAUUAGAUACCCUUGUAGUC